AGCUUUCAAGUGUUUAUUUUCUUAAACGUUUGGACUUGGGUGUGCUUGCCGGUUGUAUGUCGGCUCACCCUAAAUGCAUUAGCUGGCUUUGGUUGGGUCUGUGAGCUCGGUGUGAUAAUUGUCACUCGCUGGGGUCUUGUGAUCCGUGAGGAAGCUGCUUCCAGUUGUUGUCUUUGGAGACAUUGUGUCUAAGU
rnacentral:misc_RNA from 1 species